ACAACAUUUGGACCGUCGGUCUACCGAGCAAUGUCACUCGCUCGGUGGAAGAUCCAUUCUCAUUGUCGU
rnacentral:pre_miRNA from 1 species